rnacentral:rRNA from 1 species
CCUACGGGAGGCAGCAGUGAGGAAUAUUGGUCAAUGGGCGAGAGUCUGAACCAGCCAAGUCGCGUGAAGGAUGAAGGAUCUAUGGUUUGUAAACUUCUUUUAUAUGGGAAUAAAGUGAGGAACGUGUUCCUUUUUGUAUGUACCAUAUGAAUAAGCAUCGGCUAACUCCGUGCCAGUAGCCGCGGUAAUACGGAGGAUGCGCGCGUUAUCCGGAUUUAUUGGGUUUAAAGGGUGCGUAGGUGGUUAAUUAAGUCAGCGGUGAAAGUUUGUGGCUCAACCAUAAAAUUGCCGUUGAAACUGGUUGACUUGAGUAUAUUUGAGGUAGGCGGAAUGCGUGGUGUAGCGGUGAAAUGCAUAGAUAUCACGCAGAACUCCGAUUGCGAAGGCAGCUUACUAAACUAUAACUGACACUGAAGCACGAAAGCGUGGGGAGCAAACAGGAUUAGAUACCCCGGUAGUC